rnacentral:lncRNA from 1 species
ACUCUCUCUCUUGAGUCAAGACUUAUUGACAAUUUUGACUUGGAAAAUCUAGGGGCUAGCCCAGACUUAACAGUACUAUUACCAUGGAGAAUGAGUGAUAUCACUGAAAAAGUCUCUGUGUAGGUCCCUGUGUGGUUACUCAGUCAGUCUUUGUUUGAUCAAAUUGAGCAAAGGAUGAUGUCACAGUAGAUUCACAGUAAGAGAUACCACAGUCACACCACUGUUAUGAGAGGCUAUUUAUACAGAAAAGAGGAUCUCUGUGAAGCUAGACUUCAGAUGUUUUGAAAUUGUAGGUAGUGGAGAGCUCUGCUGGAGCUUGAUCAUUAAGGACGCCCACCCACAUGAUCUACCUCUAACCUCAGAAAUCAGUUGCAAUUCUCCAGGAAGUGGUAGUGUGAGAUUAUUUUAAUGGCAGGCACCAAGGAAUGAAUAUGGAAUCUUCAGCAUGCAGGGUAAGUGCUUUAUUGUGG